UUUUAGAUAUUUUAAUGACGCAUGGAAGUGUGUCAUGUUGUAAUAUCUGUAGAAAAUGCAGCUUACAAUAACCAGUAAUUGAUAAAAAAGGAAUUAUUCCUUAUGUUUACAUUUUAACCUGUGUUUUACAUGCUGUAAGACUUACUGUAUCUAGGUGUGUAUAUACAAUAAGACUUACUGUAUCUAGGUGUGUAUAUACAAUAAGACUUACUGUAUCAGGUGUGUAUAUACAGUAAGACUUACUGUAUCUAGGUGUGUAUAUACAGUAAGACUUACUGUAUCUAGGUGUGUAUAUACAGUAAGACUUACUGUAUCUAGGUGUAUACAUACAGUAAGACUUACUGUAUCUAGGUGUGUAUAUACAGUAAGACUUACUGUACCUAGGUGUAUAUAGUAUACUUGCUCCAGCUUGUGAUAUCUCAAUGUACUUAGGUUGAGCUUGACCAACAUUUUUGACUACCAAAGUAUUGGAGUUCUACAUUUCUGAUAUAUCAGUCACAGAGAAGUUUUAUUUUAAUAAUAUUAUAUAUUCAUAAUUAUACAAGUUGUGAUAGAAAAUAUUACAGGUUAUUAAAAUUAUAAUUUUUUCUAAGAAA